rnacentral:misc_RNA from 1 species
UCUCCGUUGGUGAACCAGCGGAGGGAUCAUUACAGAGUGCCCUUUGGCUCUGCAAACCCCGCGAACAGCAUACCCUGUUGCCUCGGCGGCGCUGCGCCAGCAGCCCGCCGGCGGCCCUGAAUAAACUCUUUAGUAGCCGCCGUCCUUCUGACUAAGAUUCAUAAUAAGUAAAAACUUUUAGCGGCGGAUCUCUUGGCUCAAGCAUCGAUGAAGAACGCAGC